rnacentral:rRNA from 1 species
AGAGUUUGAUCCUGGCUCAGAUGAACGCUGCGGCAUGGCUAAACAUGCAAGUCGAACGAGAACCUCGCAAGAGGGGACAGUGGCGGAAGGGUCAGUAAUGGGAUCGAAUGUACCCCGAGGUGGAGGAUAGCGUUGGGAAACUAACGGUAAUACUCCAUGUCCUCUACGGAGAAAAGAUUUAUCGCCUUGGGAGCAGCGAUCCUCCUAUCAGGUAGUUGGCGGGGUAAAAGCCCACCAAGCCGAAGACGGGUAGCGGGUGUGAGAGCACGGCCCGCGACAUCGAGACUGAGACACUGCUCGGACUCCUACGGGAGGCUGCAGUAACGAAUAUUCCGCAAUGCGCGAAAGCGUGACGGAGCAAUGCCGCGUGCAGGAUGAAGCGGUUUUGCCGUGUAAACUGCUGUCAGGGAUAAGAAAUACUGAUCUAUCCCAGAGGAAGGGGCGACUAACUCUGUGCCAGCAGUCGCGGUAAUACAGAGGCCCCGAGCGUUAAUCGGAAUCACUGGGCUUAAAGGGUGCGUAGGCGGGUCAGUAAGCGCUUUGUGAAAUCCCAUGGCUCAACCAUGGAACCGCAGGGCGAACUGCUGACCUUGAGGAAGCUAGAGGCUGGUAGAAC